UCACUUUCAACAACGGAUCUCUUGGCUCUCGCAUCGAUGAAGAACGUAGCGAAGUGCGAUAAGUAAUGUGAACCGCAGUAUUCCGUGAAUCAUCGAACCUUUGAACGCAUAUUGCACUUUCUGGUAUUCCGGAAAGUAUGCCUGUUUGAGGGUCAGUU
rnacentral:rRNA from 1 species